UUUUAUUUGAGAGUUUGAUCCUGGCUCAGGAUGAACGCUGGCGGCGUGCCUAACACAUGCAAGUUGAGCGAUUUACUUCGGUAAAGAGCGGCGGACGGGUGAGUAACGCGUGGGUAACCUACCCUGUACACACGGAUAACAUACCGAAAGGUAUGCUAAUACGGGAUAAUAUAUUUGAGAGGCAUCUCUUGAAUAUCAAAGGUGAGCCAGUACAGGAUGGACCCGCGUCGGAUUAGCUAGUUGGUAAGGUAACGGCUUACCAAGGCGACGAUCAGUAGCCGACCUGAGAGGGUGAUCGGCCACAUUGGAACUGAGACACGGUCCAAACUCCUACGGGAGGCAGCAG
rnacentral:rRNA from 1 species